CCGCCGCACAAAAUCCAAUAGUGAACUCGAUCUACCACACAAUUUUAACAAUUACAACGAACAAAGCCAGAAAUCUGAAUAAUAUCCAAUUUCAAAGCAAGAAAAAGAAAAAUACAACAAUUUAAUUUCCCCAUCAGUUUAGAUUUGCUACCCACCAUUGAUUCAACACAUAUUGGCAGGUGGGGAACCAUCAAACGAACAAAUUAUACAAUUCAAGAUCCAUCAUAGAACUUGGGAGGAAUCAAAUCUAAUUCCGGCUGAAAUCGAAAUGUUCCUAGGGCAAAGAAAAUGGUUAAGUGAUCUUUCAUCUUUCUUGUAACCAUGUCUUCCCCUGUAAACAAACCAACAAAGUUGAAACAGAAUCUGCCCUUUAUAAUCGUUGAACAAAUCUUUCUUUGCUUAACCAUCAUCCCUGGCAGACUGUUAGCAGACACCCAGAUACUUAAUCACCAUAAUGAUUCUGCUGGCAGUUUCUGCAAAUUACAGAAAAUUGCCAUCAUCUUUCAUGACUGAUCAUCAGACCUUGACCGAGUCAAACGCCGACGCCUUCUAGGAAUCGGAGAAGCAUCUUGAUGUCUUCUUGGGAUCGGAGAACCAUCUUCACCUGCAUCACUUAAUACAUGCAAAUAAUCAUCGUCAUCUUCAUCAUCAUCUUGUAGACCCAAUAGAUUCUCACCCCAAAGGAAUCGACGCUCGGGUAAUGCUCCAGCUGCUCGACGAUGCCUUGUCCAAGCUCUUGGCCGAGCCCUUGGUUCAGCUACGCCAUCAAUUGAGCCAAUCAUUUGAAACAAGAAGAAAGUAGUCCACCAUGGGGCAUUAACUUCACCUGCCCCACCUUCCCUUUCAACUGAAAAUCUAUCACCAUUUUCAAUCACAUAGUCUCCAACUACAACAGCACCUGGCAUGGCCGAACGAAUGGCACUGACAAUGUCACUAUAUUCUGUCUGUCGCUCAAGGCAUCUCCAAGCUCGUUCUCUGGAUGGAUCAACAUCAGAGGGUCGAGUUGUUGGGUGAACCCUCCUAGCAUGCCUACGCAAUUCUUGGUAAUUUCCAACAAAUGAGCAUGAUUCCCUAGAGCAACUUCGCUUCUUCAAGUUCAGAUAUUUUCUGGCCUCAUCUACAACUUCCCACCCUAGUACAGC
rnacentral:misc_RNA from 1 species